AAGUCGUAACAAGGUUUCCGUAGGUGAACCUGCGGAAGGAUCAUUAUAGAAUAAACCCGGGUGGGCUGUCGACGUCGCAAGACUAGACGCCCGCCUUUAUUCAUCCUUCACACCUGUGCACUGUAGAGCCUCUCAAAGUCUUUAUUGACGGCGAGGGUUCGCCCUUUAUACAAACAAUAGUAGUCCUAAACGUAACGUCUUAUUAUAACCUAAUAAAACUUUCAACAACGGAUCUCUUGGCUCUC
rnacentral:misc_RNA from 1 species